rnacentral:rRNA from 1 species
UAGGGAAUCUUCGGCAAUGGGCGAAAGCCUGACCGAGCAACGCCGCGUGAAUGAUGAAGGCCUUCGGGUUGUAAAAUUCUGUUAUAAGGGAAGAACGGCUUUAGUAGGAAAUGGCUAGAGUGUGACGGUACCUUAUGAGAAAGCCACGGCUAACUACGUGCCAGCAGCCGCGGUAAUACGUAGGUGGCAAGCGUUAUCCGGAAUUAUUGGGCGUAAAGAGCGCGCAGGUGGUUGAUUAAGUCUGAUGUGAAAGCCCACGGCUUAACCGUGGAGGGGCAAUGGAAACUGGUCGACUUGAGUGCGGAAGAGGGAAGUGGAAUUCCAUGUGUAGCGGUGAAAUGCGUAGAGAUAUGGAGGAACACCAGUGGCGAAGGCGGCUUCCUGGUCUGUAACUGACACUGAGGCGCGAAAGCGUGGGGAGCAAACA